rnacentral:lncRNA from 1 species
CUGCAGUUGGGUAUUUUCCUUCUCCGAGGUAACUUUCUGUAAAAAAUUACAGCAGUGCAGAAGGUCUACUGGAUUAUGGCCUCCAGUUCCAUCCAUGUUGCUGCAGAAGCUAUAAUUUUAUUCUUUUGAAUGGUGAGUAGUAUUCCAUAUAUGUGUAUGUAUAUUAUAUAUAUAUGUGUGUGUGUGUGUAUGUAUAUAUAUAUGCCACAUUUUCAUCAUCCAUACCUCCUUUGAUGGAUACUUAGGUUGAUUCUAUAUCUUUGCUAUUGUGAGUAGUGUUAUGAUAAACAUACAAAUGCAGGUAUCUUUUUGAUAUAAUUAUUUAUUUCUUCUUAGGUACAUACUCAGUGGGAUUGUUUGGUUCAAUGAUAGUUCUGUUUUUAGUUAUUUGAGACAUUUCCAUACUGUUUUCCAUGAAAGCUGUACUAAUUUACAUUCCCACCAACAGUGUAUAAAUGUUCCCUUUCUUCCAAAACCUCAUUAACAUCUGUUGUUUUUUGACUUUUUAAUAAUAGAUAUUCUGACUGGUGUAAGAUGAUAUCUCCUUGUGGUUUUAAUUUACAUGUAUAUUAUGAUUAAUAAUGUUGAACAUUUUGUCAUAUAUUUCUUGUUGGCCACUUAUAUGUCUUCUUUUGAAAAUAUCCAUUCAUAAACUCUGCUCAAUCUUUAAUGGGUUUGUUUUUUCUUUUU